rnacentral:rRNA from 1 species
GGACGAACGCUGGCGGCGUGCUUAACACAUGCAAGUCGAACGGAAAGGCCCUGCUUUUGUGGGGUGCUCGAGUGGCGAACGGGUGAGUAACACGUGAGUAACCUGCCCUUGACUUUGGGAUAACUUCAGGAAACUGGGGCUAAUACCGGAUAGGAGCUCCUGCUGCAUGGUGGGGGUUGGAAAGUUUCGGCGGUUGGGGAUGGACUCGCGGCUUAUCAGCUUGUUGGUGGGGUAGUGGCUUACCAAGGCUUUGACGGGUAGCUGGCCUGAGAGGGUGACCGGCCACAUUGGGACUGAGAUACGGCCCAGACUCCUACGGGAGGCAGCAGUGGGGAAUAUUGCACAAUGGGCGGAAGCCUGAUGCAGCAACGCCGCGUGCGGGAUGACGGCCUUCGGGUUGUAAACCGCUUUCGCCUGUGACGAAGCGUGAGUGACGGUAAUGGGUAAAGAAGCACCGGCUAACUACGUG